rnacentral:lncRNA from 1 species
ACAAACAUUUAUAGACUGAAGUGGCCAUGGACACGACUGAACUUCGACUAGACACAGCAACUACAAUCAACAGGCUACUGGCACCAAAAAAAGAAGGGGAAAAGACAGACGAAAAAAAAGACAAUUUCAGUUAAAUAACGCUGCACUCGACUCUGUCCAGGAGGCAAAGGAACAGAAGAACAAAAUUAAAGAUCUCCCACUCCACUCCGCCCCCCCCCCCCCAAGAUGGGAGACAAUGCAGCAAAAUGUAUGUAACAUUUCUGGCCGCGUCUAACCUGGCAACAGCCUGUCGCGAGACCAUGCGGGAACAGUUGAUAGUUUCUCGUGAGAACGUCGAGCUUCGAGCGUUUACACGCUGAUGACACAUAAGAAAAGUUAUUAUGAAAAGGCCUAAUCAGUUUGCUCAUUAUAACGUAUAUUCAGUGAGAACACAAAUGGACCAACUCCCACCGCGACCUUAUGCAUUCAUAGUAUUAAUGUAAUUUCGAUACAAUUUUGUUCACAAAUUCUACAUUUAUUAGUCUAUCUUAAUUGUUUUUUUUAUUAUAAAAAAAAUAUAUUUUACUUGGGCGAGGUUUAUGUUUUUUUCUUUCUUUUUCGAAAGCCUUCUUUUCUAGAAUUUAUUUUUUUUCUAUCCGUAGCAAUCUCAAAGGAAAGAUCGCAAAAAAUCUGGUCCAUCUGUAGAUCUCAUUAGUAUGGAUAAAGACAAAAUAACUGAAAAUAAAAAGGGGAUGGACUGGUUCCUGACCCCCCCCCCCCCAAAAAAAAAAAAAAAAAAAAAAAAAAAAAAAAAAAAAAAAAAAAAAAAAAAAAAAAAAAAAAAAAAAAAAAAAACAGCGACGAUGGAAUGAAUCCCUUGGAGCAGCAAGGUCAGGAGAGGGAAAAAGAACCUGCAGCCCCUAAAAGAGAGCAACCCGACAUGAAUAUUCGGGACAAUGCAGCUUAAUCCUGAAAGGAAAUACGAUUACACUCGUGAUGAACGGAAGGCAGCUGUCGAGGUCAAAACUGCAGGAGGUUUGAAUAGAACAAACAUUUAUAGACUGAAGUGGCCAUGGACACGACUGAACUUCGACUAGACACAGCAACUACAAUCAACAGGCUACUGGCACCAAAAAAAAGAAGGGGAAAAGACAGACGAAAAAAAGACAGAAUUUCAGUUAAAUGACGCUGCACUCGACUCUGUCCAGGAGGCAAAGGAACAGAAGAACAAAAUUAAAGAUCUCCCACUCCACUCCGCCCCCCCCCCCCAA